rnacentral:lncRNA from 1 species
GAAAAUAUAUACUAAAUUGUUCCUAAGCAUCUCAGAAGAUCUUUCUGUUGGCUUUCUUUACUUUCUGAGAGAAAACUUGAAUAGUCACCAUGAAUUUAUUUUUCACUGAACUCCAUAGCAACAAAUCAUAAAAUUGCUGAAGUACUUAGUAUGGGAAAAGUCAAGGUACCCAGACAGCCUGUACAAAUUCUUACUUGUCUAUAAAGAGACCAUGAGAUAAGUCUGAGAAAGAGGACCUAAGGUGUUUCAAAGCAUUAUGAUCAGACUGCUUCUUCGUUGCUCAGGACAUGAAUAUCUGAUGAUUAAUGACAGGCAUCAAAGAAUUAUCUAGGAGAACGAAGUUGGAUGGAUUGAUCUCUAUCUGUAAAUGGGAGAUAUUUUACAGUAACUGGAAGUACAAUUGUCAAGGAUUCAGGACACUAGUAGCUGUAUAAAUUGGGACACACGCAGUUUCCUUUGUUGUUCUCCAAACCAUGAUGAGUAAGCAAGCCCAUUAACUCAACGAGCAAUAUAGUGAAGACUUUUGCAAAAUACUUCAGAAGAAAAGCAGAAAAAUCUCUAUAACCACAGGUGAGCAAUAAAAUAGCUAUAAGGCAAAAGUAUUGUUUGCA